rnacentral:rRNA from 1 species
UACGAAGGGGGCUAGCGUUGUUCGGAAUUAUUGGGCGUAAAGAGCUCGUAGGCGGUUUGUCGCGUCUGCUGUGAAAUCCCCAGGCUCAACUUGGGGCGUGCGGUGGGUACGGGCAGACUAGAGUGAUGUAGGGGGAGACUGGAAUUCCUGGUGUAGCGGUGAAAUGCGCAGAUAUCAGGAGGAACACCGAUGGCGAAGGCAGGUCUCUGGGCAUUAACUGACGCUGAGGAGCGAAAGCAUGGGGAGCGAACAGG